rnacentral:lncRNA from 1 species
AUCUAGAUGAGGAAACUUAUCAGAAGACUGAAUCUACCAAUAAAAAAAUUUUUUUUUCCUUUCUCCAGACUACUACCUUGCUUGACCACUGCUGAUGACUGGCCAUUCUCAGCUUCACUUCAAGAAAUCUUGCAAAGCUCUGACAGUCACACAAGAAUGACUGCUAUAGUCUGCUUCUUUAUACGUUGCCUGCCUAAGCGCGUCAGUCCUGAUGCAUUGGAGUGAAGGAUGAAACCUUCUCCUUCAGGAUGCGUUUUGGAAUUGUCACAUCGUUGCUACGUUUUCCUUAAAGUUGGGCACUUACAUUUUGUUCAAGAAGAAAAAGGUGUUUUUCAUGUAUAUAAGCACAAAACACCCUCUAAGCCUCCUUCAGAUUGAUUUCUAAAAUUAUUUUUUAUUUUUCUUUGCUUCAACAUUUCAUGAAUAUUUUCAGUCAUAUUUCUGAUGUUCCUAGAUUUAUUCAGUUUCGCUUGCAACUACAAAGUUCUCUAGAACAAAUGAAAACUUACAUUUAAAAAUCCUGUAUGUAACAUGAAUAUAGUAAUUACUUUUUAAAACAUGGAGAGCCUCUCUCUGGCUGUUGCUGUUUGUCUCCCCUGCUGUCUUGUCUGGUCUUCGUGGCCAGUGACUGCAGCUGCAGCUAAAGGAAAUGGGCAGAUUUAGCAAGGAACCUGCAGUGGGUUGUGUAGCUUCCUUUCCUUUCACUGGCUCAAGUUUUUCUUUCUCUUACUAUCUCUAGGGAUAAAAAGGUAUUGAAGUCAUAAUAAAAGCAUAUGAUCUCAUUUUCCUUUGGAAAUU